AAGUAUGAAGUGAUAAUUCACUAUUAGUUUCGACCUAAUCUUAGAUAAUUUUAAUCCUUACUUA
rnacentral:tRNA from 1 species